GGAGGAUCCAAGCGUUAUCCGGAAUCAUUGGGUUUAAAGGGUCCGUAGGUGGAUAAUUAAGUCAGAGGUGAAAUCCUGCAGCUCAACUGUAAAAUUGCCUUUGAUACUGGUUAUCUUGAGUUAUUAUGAAGUGGUUAGAAUAUGUGGUGUAGCGGUGAAAUGCAUAGAUGUUACAUAGAAUACCGAUUGCGAAGGCAGAUCACUAACUAUAUAUUGACGCUGAGGGACGAAAGCGUGGGGAGCGAACGGGAUUAGAUACCCCAGUAGUCCACGCCGUAAACGAUGGAUACUAGCUGUUGGAUUUUUUCAGUGGCUAAGCGAAAGUGAUAAGUGACCCACCUGGGGAGUACGUUCGCAAGAAUGAAACUCAAAGGAAUUGACGGGGGCCCGCACAAGCGGUGGAGCAUGUGGUUUAAUUCGAUGAUACGCGAGGAACCUUACCAGGGCUUAAAUGUAAGUUGCAUAAGUUAGAGAUAGCUUUUUCUUCGGACUACUUACAAGGUGCUGCAUGGUU
rnacentral:rRNA from 1 species